rnacentral:rRNA from 1 species
UACGUAGGGGGCAAGCGUUAUCCGGAUUUACUGGGUGUAAAGGGAGCGUAGGUGGUACGGCAAGUCAGGUGUGAAAGCCCGGGGCUCAACCCCGGGACUGCACUUGAAACUGCCGGACUGGAGUGCAGGAGAGGUAAGUGGAAUUCCUAGUGUAGCGGUGAAAUGCGUAGAUAUUAGGAGGAACACCAGUGGCGAAGGCGGCUUACUGGACUGUAACUGACACUGAGGCUCGAAAGCGUGGGGAGCAAACAGG